rnacentral:rRNA from 1 species
AAACCGGAACGGAAGGUGGGGAGUGACGUCAAAUACAUCAUGCCCCUUAUGACCUGGGCUACACACGUGCUACAAUGGUUGGUACAACGAGUUGCGAGUCGGUGACGGCGAGCUAAUCUCUUAAAGCCAAUCUCAGUUCGGAUUGUAGGCUGCAACUCGCCUACAUGAAGUCGGAAUCGCUAGUAAUCGCGGAUCAGCACGCCGCGGUGAAUACGUUCCCGGGCCUU